CUUGGUCAUUUAGAGGAAGUAAAAGUCGUAACAAGGUCUCCGUUGGUGAACCAGCGGAGGGAUCAUUAUCGAGUUAUUCAACUCCCAAACCCUAUGUGAACUUACCACUUGUUGCUUCGGCGCGCGCUUCGGCGCCGCCGAGGACACUUAAACUCUUUGUUUUUAUAAGCAUUUCUGAGUGGCCGAAAGGCAAAAAUACAAAUGAAUCAAAACUUUCAACAACGGAUCUCUUGGUUCUGGCAUCGAUGAAGAACGCAGCGAAAUGCGAUAAGUAAUGUGAAUUGCAGAAUUCAGUGAAUCAUCGAAUCUUUGAACGCACAUUGCGCCCGCCAGCAUUCUGGCGGGCAUGCCUGUUCGAGCGUCAUUUCAACCCUCGAGCCCGACUCUUUUGAGGACGGCUCGGCGUUGGGGGACGGCAGACUCCCCCCGGCAUCUCGCCGGGGACGCCGCCCCCGAAAUCUAGUGGCGGCCCUCCGAGGCGACCUCUGCGUAGUAACUUGUUCUCGCACCGGAAAGCUCAGAGCGGCCACGCCGUAAAACCCCAACUUUUUUCAGGUUGACCUCGAAUCAGGUAGGA
rnacentral:rRNA from 1 species